GCAUAUCAAUAAGCGGAGGAAAAGAAACCAACAGGGAUUGCCCUAGUAACGGCGAGUGAAGCGGCAACAGCUCAAAUUUGAAAUCUGGCUCUUUUAGAGUCCGAGUUGUAAUUUGCAGAGGGCGCUUUGGCGUUGGCAGCGGUCCAAGUUCUUUGGAACAGGACGUCACAGAGGGUGAGAAUCCCGUACGUGGUCGCUAGCCUUCGCCGUGUAAAGCCCCUUCGACGAGUCGAGUUGUUUGGGAAUGCAGCUCUAAAUGGGAGGUAAAUUUCUUCUAAAGCUAAAUACUGGCCAGAGACCGAUAGCGCACAAGUAGAGUGAUCGAAAGAUGAAAAGCACUUUGGAAAGAGAGUCAAAUAGCACGUGAAAUUGUUGAAAGGGAAGCGCUUGCAGCCAGACUUACCUGUAGUUGCUUAUCUAGACUUUUGUCUAGUGCACUCUUCUACGGGUAGGCCAGCAUCAGUUCAGGCGGUUGGAUAAAGGUCUCUGUCACGUACCUCCCUUCGGGGUGGCCUUAUAGGGGAGACGUCAUGCAACCAGCCUGGACUGAGGUCCGCGCAUCUGCUAGGAUGCUGGCGUAAUGGCUGUAAGCGGCCCGUCUUGAAACACGGACCAAGGAGUCUAACAUCUAUGCGAGUGUUUGGGUGUCAAGCCCAGACGCGUAAUGAAAGUGAACGGAGGUGGGAACCCUUUGGGUGCACCAUCGACCGAUCCUGAUGUCUUCGGAUGGAUUUGAGUAAGAGCAUGGCUGUUGGGACCCGAAAGAUGGUGAACUAUGCUUGAAUAGGGUGAAGCCAGAGGAAACUCUGGUGGAGGCUCGCAGCGGUUCUGACGUGCAAAUCGAUCGUCAAAUUUGGGCAUAGGGCGAAAGACUAAUCGAAACUAUCUAGUAGCUGGUUCUGCGAAG
rnacentral:rRNA from 1 species